rnacentral:rRNA from 1 species
ACUACGGGAGGCAGCAGUGGGGAAUAUUGGACAAUGGGGGGAACCCUGAUCCAGCGACGCCGCGUGAGUGAAGAAGGAUGGCGGUAUGUAAAGCUCUAUCAGCAGGGAAGAAAGAAAUGACGGUACCUGACUAAGAAGCCACGGCUAACGACGAGCCAGCAGCCGCGGUCAUACGUCGGGGGCAAGCGUUAUCCGGAUUUACGGGGUGUAAAGGGAGCGUAGACGGCGAUGCAAGUCUGAAGUGAAAGGCGGGGGCCCAACCUCCGGACUGCUUGGGAAACGGUAUGGCUGGCGGGCAGGGGAGGUAAGUGGAAUUCCUAGUGUAGCGGUGACAUGCGUAGAUCUUAGGAGG